CAAGUCGGACGGGAUAUAGGAGCUUGCUUCUAUUGAGAGUGGCGCACGGGUGCGUAACACGUAUGUAACCUACCUUCGUCAGGGGGAUAGCCUCUCGAAAGAGAGAUUAAGACCGCAUAACAUUAUUGAAUAGCAUUAUUUAAUAAUCAAAUAUUUAUAGGACGAAGAUGGGCAUGCGGAACAUUAGCUAGUUGGUAAGGUAACGGCUUACCAAGGCUACGAUGUUUAGGGGAUCUGAGAGGAUGACCCCCCACACUGGUACUGAGACACGGACCAGACUCCUACGGGAGGCAGCAGUAAGGAAUAUUGGUCAAUGGGCGGAAGCCUGAACCAGCCAUGCCGCGUGCAGGAAGACGGCCCUACGGGUUGUAAACUGCUUUUGCAGGGGAAUAAACCCCGGUACGUGUACCGGGCUGAAUGUACUCUGAGAAUAAGGAUCGGCUAACUCCGUGCCAGCAGCCGCGGUAAUACGGAGGAUCCAAGCGUUAUCCGGAUUUAUUGGGUUUAAAGGGUGCGUAGGUGGCUUUUUAAGUCAGGGGUGAAAGACGGUAGCUUAACUAUCGCAGUGCCUUUGAUACUGAAGAGCUUGAAUGAACUAGAGGUAGGCGGAAUGUGACAAGUAGCGGUGAAAUGCAUAGAUAUGUCACAGAACACCAAUUGCGAAGGCAGCUUACUAUGGUUUUAUUGACACUGAGGCACGAAAGCGUGGGGAUCAAACAGGAUUAGAUACCCUGGUAGUCCACGCCCUAAACGAUGAAUACUCGAUGUUGGCGAUAUACGGUCAGCGUCUAAGCGAAAGCGUUAAGUAUUCCACCUGGGGAGUACGCCCGCAAGGGUGAAACUCAAAGGAAUUGACGGGGGCCCGCACAAGCGGAGGAGCAUGUGGUUUAAUUC
rnacentral:rRNA from 1 species